CUGCAUUGGACACUUCUCACCUCUUCCAUUUUUAUCGGGACUUCCUGGGUUGCGUCACGAAUAGUGUGUAAAUAUGCAGGCCCCACCCCUUUACCUGCAAGCAGACUGGCAUUUUUAAACGGACACAUAACGACAAGAAAGUUUGCAUAUAGCCUGGUGAUAAACAGUCCCAACAGAAAGCUUCAUGGAAAACAAUGCACGUUUACAACAGAACUCGAGGUCCACUCUUGAAACGCAUUGGUCUGCCUAGUGAUUGCGUCGUCACAUCGCUCUGUGGAAGGAGUUUGCUGAAAACACACUGCUCUGUGGAAGGAGUUACCUGAAAGCACAUCGCUUCUUCACAUUGCUCUGUGGUUAGCUGAAAGCCACUUGGCCACUGCCCUCCCAUUGCUUUCUUUACUUUUUCUGAAGAGCAUUGAAGUCUGGCAGGUGGAAGCUACAGAUGGUGACCAAAAAGAUUCUGCUACCACUGGACACUGUAGCCAGUUAUUUUCCCAGUAUAUAGAUUGUGUGUUUUUUUGUGCUGUUAUGUAUAUUAUAAGUCACAUAUAAAAAGGCAACCAGUCACUGUUAAAGACAU